rnacentral:rRNA from 1 species
GACGAACGCUUGCGGCGUGCUUAACACGUGCAAGUCGAACGGAAAGGCCCUGCUUUUGUGGGGUGCUCGAGUGGCGAACGGGUGAGUAACACGUGAGUAACCUGCCCUUGACUUUGGGAUAACUUCAGGAAACUGGGGCUAAUACCGGAUAGGAGCUCCUGCUGCAUGGUGGGGGUUGGAAAGUUUCGGCGGUUGGGGAUGGACUCGCGGCUUAUCAGCUUGUUGGUGGGGUAGUGGCUUACCAAGGCUUUGACGGGUAGCCGGCCUGAGAGGGUGACCGGCCACAUUGGGACUGAGAUACGGCCCAGACUCCUACGGGAGGCAGCAGUGGGGAAUAUUGCACAAUGGGCGGAAGCCUGAUGCAGCAACGCCGCGUGCGGGAUGACGGCCUUCGGGUUGUAAACCGCUUUCGCCUGUGACGAAGCGUGAGUGACGGUAAUGGGUAAAGAAGCACCGGCUAACUACGUGCCAGCAGCCGCGGUGAUACGUAGGGUGCGAGCGUUGUCCGGAUUUAUUGGGCGUAGAGGGCUCGUAGGUGGUUGAUCGCGUCGGAAGUGUAAUCUUGGGGCUUAACCCUGAGCGUGCUUUCGAUACGGGUUGACUUGAGGAAGGUAGGGGAGAAUGGAAUUCCUGGUGGAGCGGUGGAAUGCGCAGAUAUCAGGAGGAACACCAGUGGCGAAGGCGGUUCUCUGGGCCUUUCCUGACGCUGAGGAGCGAAAGCGUGGGGAGCGAACAGGCUUAGAUACCCUGGUAGUCCACGCUGUAAACGGUGGGUACUAGGUGUGGGGUCCAUUCCACGGGUUCCGUGCCGUAGCUAACGCUUUAAGUACCCCGCCUGGGGAGUACGGCCGCAAGGCUAAAACUCAAAGGAAUUGACGGGGCCCCGCACAAGCGGCGGAGCAUGCGGAUUAAUUCGAUGCAACGCGUAGAACCUUACCUGGGUUUGACAUGGAUCGGGAGUGCUCAGAGAUGGGUGUGCCUCUUUUGGGGUCGGUUCACAGGUGGUGCAUGGCUGUCGUCAGCUCGUGUCGUGAGAUGUUGGGUUAAGUCCCGCAACGAGCGCAACCCUUGUUCACUGUUGCCAGCACGUUAUGGUGGGGACUCAGUGGAGACCGCCGGGGUCAACUCGGAGGAAGGUGGGGAUGACGUCAAGUCAUCAUGCCCCUUAUGUCCAGGGCUUCACGCAUGCUACAAUGGCUGGUACAGAGAGUGGCGAGCCUGUGAGGGUGAGCGAAUCUCGGAAAGCCGGUCUCAGUUCGGAUUGGGGUCUGCAACUCGACCUCAUGAAGUCGGAGUCGCUAGUAAUCGCAGAUCAGCAACGCUGCGGUGAAUACGUUCCCGGGGCU